rnacentral:lncRNA from 1 species
CGCCCAACGGACAGACGGCCAUGCAGACAGACAGCCACAGCCCCGCUAGCAGCCCAGCCAGGGGUCCAUGCGGCUCUUGCGGGCGAGGAAGGAGAUCUUGCGUGCCAUCUCGGCGUUGUAGACACGCCGGCACGCCUCGUAGGCCAAGCGCUGCCUCUUGCGGCACGGCUUCUCGUAGUAACGCCGCUGCUUCACCGACUCAAUGAUGCCGUCCUGCGAGAGGAUCCUCCGUGCGCCCCGGAACCGGAAAUCGCC